UAAUUUGGUGCUAUUGGUUUGUUAAGGUACCUAUUUAUUUUGAGUUUUUUCUGUGUCAAACACAAAGGUUGAAUGUAUGGCUUAGCACUAACUUCAUGUGGGUUUUUCUGCUCAAGUUAUUUCAGUUAUAUUCCUCAGUUAAUACUUCGCAGGAUCUUGAGGAGUUCUUUUGUGUUGUAUUGCUUUGAAGGUGAAUCUCAUUCCUCGGGUUUUGCUCUGUUGUCGUAGCACUUUCAGAUUUGAAGUUAUGUUUCUCAAGUAAGAAGUAGUAUCUUUGUGCUUUUAGCAAUGAGAAUAUUUGAGGAACUACCUAUUACAACAUCAUUUUCUAGGAAAAUUAGAUCAUAACAAGAGACGAUGAAUCAUUUAUUUUCUUUGUUGUGGGUAGGGUCAAAUUUUGAAUUACCAAGCUUUUGUAUGAUUUUGAUUGACCAGGCUUGCUUGCUGCUUGCUUGUCAAUCAAGCUAUGUUGGUCGAUUUUAGAGACAAACUUGUCUUCGAAUAAGACUAUCUAGAAGCAGCAAGGCAAAGACAUCCAUUGCAUUACUAACUGGGAUAAUUUUGACUUGUUAGCUACACCCUUUGGAUGGUCCUAAUUGUAGAAAAUUAUUAUAGACAAUCAACCCUUCAAAUUUCACCAUCAUGAAAGAAUCUAAAUAUAGUAUGUUUUCUUCUCUUACUUUUUUAUUAUACUCUUCUACUCUUAUAAUUCAUCAAAUGCUAACUAUUACCGUCACUUUAAUGCUCGGAACCCCUGGUUGAUAAUUUAUAGUGGGUCAGUUCUGUGUUGAUUUCUCUCAUGAUGAUUGAUGCUUUGUUACAUAGAUAGAAAAAAAUUGAGAAAUCAGAUGGAGAAGGAAUGGCACAACCGUGAAAAAUAAGUCAGAUGCUUGUUGAAAGAUAUAUACUGUGAGUUUCAUAUAUUUUGGUUAUAUAAGGAUUCAAUUUUUUAAGGAGGCCGGAGUGGAGAAGUAGAUGUGACAUAGAGAAACAUGGCUAUGCAGGGGAAGCGGGAAAUCACACUUUGACAAAUGUUUCUAUAGUCAUGUGUUAUUCUGUAGCCACUGAGCAAAUGCAUCGACAUACAUGUGUCAGAGACGCUGUAUGCUCUUUGAUUGUUGAUAAUUUUUUGUUUCUCGUGGACCUUGUUUGACUUUUGGAUGUGGUGUGAAUUCUAUGGGCUAAUAUGUCAAGCUUUCGAUGGUUCACUAUGUACGCUUGUUUGGUGAUUCAAUAUUUGUCAGUGUGGUAAUAAGCCACAUACGACACAAAUUCUUCUAUUUUGCCGAACACAUCCUCUUGAAGUACAAGAUAUUUUUAUAACCAUGUCUACAACUCAUGAUCUCUAUGCCUAAAUUUAUUGUUUGGUGCCAUUGUGACCAAUAUCCCUUAAAACAUGGAUGUUCCCGCCUUUCGCUCUGGUCGCGCUGAUUUUGAACGAAAAUUCAAUCCAAGGAGCGGGAAGGGACUGCUUUGGCCCACAAAAGAAAAAAGAAGAAAAGAAAACGCAACCAAACCACAGCCAGGCCGCGCGGCUUCUCUCUCUGUCUUGCUCCUCUCUCGAUCCCCUCCAGAUCCAACCGCCACCGCCGACCUCCGUCCUCUCCCCCAACCCCAGCUCCAACUCCGGCCUCCACUCCACCGCCGGCGAUCCAUCCGUUCCCCUCCUCUCGCUCGCCGUAGAUCCGCUCGAGCAGCGCAGCCCACGGUCAGAUCAGAUCCUCGCGCCCGGAACCCUAGCCCUCUGGCCAUGGCGACCGGCCGCAGCACAGGUUGGAGGUGCCACCAUGGAGUCCUCUGCCGGGGACGCCGCCCAAGUGCUCGUCAAGGCCCGCUGCUCCUUCUUCCUCCUUUUCCUCAAAUUCAAGGGCAAUCAGCAGCACACGCCAUCCUCAAGGCGCACGGUUCUUCUCUUCUCUGAUGGAUGGAUGGGUUGGUCGUGGAGGAGGAGAACGACCAGGAGAAUAGGGAUCCCGUCUCUUCUUUUCUCUUCAUCAAUGUCGGCCGCCCAGGAACAACGACCCAGCCACCCCUCAAGGAAAGGCAGGAGUGCAAACCCUUGGAGUUCAUGUAGAGUAUUCUGCCCUCAUGGGUCACAGAGGCCCUCCUUCCUCCGCCCCAUCAGAACCAGGCUGCCUGUUGUAUGUACAGCAGCAAAAAGAUUUGGAUGCAGACCGUGGUGGUUUCUUCAUAGUACACGUGCAGCCAGCCGUGUAUGUUCAAAUUCUCCCUGACGCCGUGUGAUGCUAGUGAUUUUGCCUGCCAUGCCGCAACCACGACGGUGGCGAUGUCCGGCCUCGGCUACAACUUGCACAGGAUUUGGCCUCUGGAUGGGUUUCUCGUGCCAGGCACCUCGACGACUUUUGCUAUGCUGUGGUGUUGUUUGGCAUUGGCUACACAAUAGCUAUGCAGGAUUCGAUUCGGUACAAUAAGGGGUUCGUCGUGCCAGGCUUCACGGCGCUGCUGCUUCCAUGUGACGGACUGACGGUGUUGUUUGGCAUCGGCUACAAAAACAGCCAUGGUGUCUCUGUUUACUAGUACUUGAGAGGGAAUUGGAAGUAGUUUGUCAACUGAAGCUUGGUCCUGCUCGACACCAAGGAGAGGCGCAAGGGGGUGCCUAGCACCGGCGCCGAAGAAUGCUGGUGCUCCUCUUCGUCUUCGACCUGCUCUGCUCCUUCAAGGUGAUAGCCGAAUGGUAUACGCGCGAGAUUCAUCUUCCACUCAAACGCCUCACGCCCUGCCCCUCCAGUAGCUGAUUCUUCUUCGACUCUGUCACAUGUGUGGCCCGUCGAAGCGCUUCAUCUUCCUCGGUUUAGGCAAUCGGUGACUGGCGUGUUGAUUGGAUCCAAGGGAGGAGCUUAUGGUGUGUUGACACCAGUCUGUCCUUAUCUUGUGGCGUUGACAUCAUAAUCAUGUCCAGCCGAAAGGUAUCCAAUGUUCCCCUCUAAUUGAAAGAAAACUAAUCAGUUUGGCCCCUUCCACUCGAGGAUGACUACCUCAUAUAUGUCCCUGGACAUCCUGUUAAAAGCAACUAGCAGAUGCUACAGCUACAAUUAAUUGUCAACACCUGCACUGUUCUUGAGAUAUCAUUAGUUUUUACACAUGGGAUUACUUCCGCAUGGGUCAAUCACAACAGGUGUUUUAUGAAAAAAAUGCAUCUUGAUGUUCCGUGUAAUGCACGGGCAUCUUGCUAGUCACAGUAUAUAUGUGGUCUAUGUACCAUGAUCUCAUGCGAGUGGUUUUUAUUCCAAGGAUGCCUUCCUACUCCUGCUAGUUCUAAUGUCAUACAGUUUGAAUAAAUCGAAAUGAAUCCGAUUCAUGGUUGAGUAUUUUGUUUUUGAUGAUUCAGGGCAACAAUCUAUUGGUCAAUUUGCAUUCCCUCUAAUGUCCUUUGCUCUCUUUGUCCCGCUCAAUUACCCAUCAUUUUUGUAUAUCUUGGUGUUGUAUGCUAGAUCAAUGAGCCAGCCAACCAUGCAUGUUGUGAUGUGAAAAUUUCGUCAAUUUCAUUUGAUGUGCGUAUGGAUGGAUCCAGACCCAAGUCAAGUCGUCCUUGGUUGCCUGCCAUGCUGCUUUUACUAGUAAAAGCAGUGGCGGGCCAUUUUAUGUAUGUAAGCUUGUUGUGUUGAAUUCUGAAAGCAAGGUAGGAUUUUUUUUGCUUGGCUCUUGGGUUUCUCUCCUCUGUGUGCUCCUGUUCGGUUUUGUUUUGAUGCUUGCACAUAUCGAAGGCUUUCUAGGCGUCAUUAUCUAAAGGCCUUUUUUAGCUCAGUGUUUGUGCCAAAUAAUAUAUGUUUGUCUCCUUGCCUUGUGAUCUCCAGCAGUGCUACCCUGGAGACCAUGCAAGAAUGAAGAACACACUUGAAAAAUGGAUAGUAAAAAUAUGUCUUUUUAACCCUGCUUGAUUCAGCAUUUUAGUACAGGCCACUCACACUCACUGUUCUGUUCUGUUCUGCUCCUGUAACCAUAGAGGGCCGGGAGCUUGCAGCAACUGUGGAUGAGGUCCCAGUGGAGGUAGUGCGAGAAAUCCAAUGGAGGAGAUCAAGUCUUGUGGGGAAAAGUGCGCAAGCCUUUGCAGA